rnacentral:lncRNA from 1 species
CUGACAGCACAGGCCAAGGCAGAGAAUGGCGGAGGAACAGGGUGGUGAAUCCUUAAUUAACAGGAUGCUCAGGGAAGCCAUGCAGGCUGCAUAAAGCUGUUGUGAAAGGCCGCAUUUAGGAUAGAUGCAGCAGCCUCUCAGCGAUAUCACUAACUUCAGGAGGCAGAAAGGCAGUUUCAGAGUUCUAGUCAGUGGUGAGAUGGGAGAUUAUUUCCUCUGGAAACCCUGAAUCUGUCUCUCUGAAAGCAUCUUCAUACUGUUAAAUGACUUGCUUAAUGGUAGGGCUCAGAGGUUCCAAAGCUCAGUUUCUGAAACUAAUUCAAAAUGUGCGCUCAAGAAACAAAAGGAAAGAAACAAUCACGAGCAAAAAUACAAAAGACGUAAUGAUUUCAACUAAUGUUAAAUUCCCUGAGGAACCAGGGAGCUUGUCAAUAUUUGGGGAAAGGUGAAAGAACAUAGAAUAUCCUUUUUUCCGAGCAAUAUUAUUGAAUUUAAUAAUUUAGUGGAAAUGUUCAUUUAAUUAUACAUUAAUGGGUAUGCAGUGAUAAUUUUUACAAAGUGCCAGGCGUGGUUGCUAGGCACAAGAGCUACUAAGAAGAAAGACACACCUCAGACACACCUCUGAAGUUAAAGAACAUUUAUUAGUCUUCUCGGAGUGAAUACCGAAACUUCCUGUGAUGAGACACAGACACCAGAAAGCUUUAAAAGAGUGAUUUAAGGAGGUAACCAGCACUUGCAGCCAACACUAUUAUGACUCCCUCAAGACGUGCACACACUGGAAUAAGCGUAAACAUUUACAAGGACAGGAAAAUUGAAUUCCUGAAAAUAUAUACCAAGCUGUAUUUUCACAAAUAAUCUUGUUUAUAGAUGCAUCAAUAUUCCUUGAGACUUGUUUGCAAUCACAGUUGUCCUGAGAGUUUUGAAGGCUUGUCAGAUGUUAAAGGAUUAGCCUUGGUCAGUAUAACUCUAGGAUAUUAACAUUCACUGGGCACCUACAUCUGAUCAGAAUCAUGCUAGGGGCUAGAGAAACAAAGAGAAACACAUCCCUUUUCCCCUAGGCCUCAGAGUCUAAAGGGGGAGAGAAGCAAGUAAACACUCCAUUACAGUAAGCCAUAUUGUAACUGGCAGGACAGACAUACACACAACCUGCUGUAGGAGCCAAAGGACGAGACUCCACAACCACGAGGUUGAGUAACCAGGAGACUGUCCGCAGCUCGUGUCUAAAUGCCUAGCUGAAAUCUAGAGAUGUCCAGCAGAGGAACGGGUGAGUUUGCAAUAGAGGGCUUCUUCCCAGCUCAAGAAAUAGUAAGGCAGAGACACCAAUUAUCAACGCAUUGUAGAAAACUUAGAAGAGAUGAAACUGGGUAAUAAUCUAGACUUUCCAACUGGAUCUAAUUCAGAAUUUUCAACUCUGGAUCUAUCUUUCUAUGCUAAGCUAUAUAGCUCUAUGGAAAGCGGCCUCUGCUGUCCCCUCUUGUCAGGUUCUUCAGCACAGACUUGCCUGCAUCUGUGGUUUCGAGGCUCUCCAUGCUGGAAAAAUCUCUGCCAGGACAGCUGGGCCCCACAUCAGCAGACACUCAGGUAGUUCCAUAUCAGUAAUCAAGAGACUAAGAAUGAAGCCAACAGGAAAAGAAGUAAGAAGUAAAGAUGGGGAUGAAGUCCUGACCGCGCUGUUUGAGCCCCUGACCGAGCUGUACUUCAAACGAGACUAUCCCCUGGACUUUCAAGCAACUUGAGCCGAUAAAUUCCCCUUAUUUUUAAGCCAGGUAGAAUUGGUUUUCUUUCACAUGCAACAGAAAGAAUCCUAAGUGAUAUAUUUAGGAAGUGAGAGGAACUAAACCUGCUAGUUGAAGGCAUCGUCUCUACAGCCAACAAAAGCUCAAGUAGUCAAAUCUGAUAGAUUCACAGCGUGGUCAACGGCGCUCUUCAAUGUCUUUGACUGGAUCUUUCUGUAUUCUUACUUGUGUUCACAAUCAGCCCACAUCUGAUUUUGAUAGAGUCAUUUUUUCUAAAUAUCCCCAAAUAAUCUUUCCCAAUAGAAGGAAUAAAAUAUCUUGAGUUUUAUACACGUGAAUCCCAUAUCUCCAUCUAUUUUUAAGCAUGUCCCUAAGACUCAAAACUCAAAAUUGUUAUUUUAUGAGGAGUCUUAAACAAAAACAAAAACAAAACCUCAAGGGUUUAAUCUGGAAUACUAAUUGGGUUGAAAAUAAACACAAAAAUUCAGCGGC